rnacentral:rRNA from 1 species
UACGGGGGGGGCAAGCGUUGUUCGGAAUUACUGGGCGUAAAGGGCCAGUAGGCGGCCAACUAAGUCGGAUGUGAAAUCCCCAGGCUUAACCGCGGGCCUGCAGCCGAUACGGGCAGGCUAGAGUUCGGUAGGGGAGACUGGAAUUCCUGGUGUAGCGGUGAAAUGCGCAGAUAUCAGGAGGAACACCGGUGGCGAAGGCGGAUCUCUGGGCCAUUACUGACGCUGAGGAGCGAAAGCGUGGGGAGCGAACAGG